rnacentral:rRNA from 1 species
AUUGAACGCUGGCGGCAGGCCUAACACAUGCGAGUCGAGCGGAUGAAGGGAGCUUGCUCCUGGAUUCAGCGGCGGACGGGUGAGUAAUGCCUAGGAAUCUGCCUGGUAGUGGGGGAUAACGUCCGGAAACGGGCGCUAAUACCGCAUACGUCCUGAGGGAGAAAGUGGGGGAUCUUCGGACCUCACGCUAUCAGAUGAGCCUAGGUCGGAUUAGCUAGUUGGUGGGGUAAAGGCCUACCAAGGCGACGAUCCGUAACUGGUCUGAGAGGAUGAUCAGUCACCCUGGAACUGGGACCCCGGCCCGACCCCUAAGGGGGGCCGCAGUGGGGAAUAUUUGAACAUGGGCGGAAACCUUAUCCCGGCAUUCCGCGGGGGGGAAGAAGGGUUUUCGGUUGUAAAGCCCUUUUAUUUGGGAAGAAAGGGAGGAAAUUUAAACCCUUCUUUUUUUACGGUUCCCAAAAAAUAAGCACCGGCUAACUUUGUG